GAUGAACGCUAGCUACAGGCUUAACACAUGCAAGUCGAGGGGUAACAAGAGAAAAGCUUGCUUUUCUUGUUGACGACCGGCGCACGGGUGAGUAACGCGUAUCCAACCUGCCUAUAACUAGGGAAUAACCUUGCGAAAGUAAGACUAAUACCCUAUGAUUUCCUUUGAUGGCAUCAGAUUAGGAAUAAAGAUUUAUCGGUUAUAGAUGGGGAUGCGUCUGAUUAGCUUGUUGGCGGGGUAACGGCCCACCAAGGCAACGAUCAGUAGGGGUUCUGAGAGGAAGGUCCCCCACAUUGGAACUGAGACACGGUCCAAACUCCUACGGGAGGCAGCGGUGAGGAAUAUUGGUCAAUGGGCGGAAGCCUGAACCAGCCAAGUAGCGUGCAGGAUGACGGCCCUAUGGGUUGUAAACUGCUUUUAUACAGGAAUAAAGUUAGCCACGUGUGGUUAUUUGUAGGUACUGUAUGAAUAGGGACCGGCUAAUUCCGUGCCAGCCGCCGCCGUAA
rnacentral:rRNA from 1 species